CCUAGAGUUUGUAGGCUUUGCCUGCUAUCUCUUACCCAUGUCUUUUGAGUACCUUACGUUUCCUCGGUGGGUUCGCCCACCGAUUGGACAAAUUUAAAACCCUUUGCAGUUGAAAUCAGCGUCUGAAAAAACUUAAUAGUUA
rnacentral:misc_RNA from 1 species